UUAAAUGCUAUGAAGAGGAAUAGUAGGGAUUUGACAAUCCUGCAGAGAGCUGCCGGUUGGUGUAAGGCAGUGGAUCAAAGAUUCUGAACUCACCUUGGAGCAGCCGGAUGAAUGGUAUAUUUGAUAUACAGGUAGUUUUGGACGGGGUCUCGCCGUUACAAGAGAAGGAUAUAAGAGUUACAUCCGUAUCCGUGGAGUGCGUAUAAGAUACAUGAUAUAUCAGUUGAUUAUACGAAUUAGAGUGGUACCGCGUUUAACAGCGCCUCUAGA
rnacentral:ncRNA from 1 species